UUGAUCAUGGCUCAGAUUGAACGCUGGCGGCAUGCUUUACACAUGCAAGUCGAACGGUAACAGGGAGCUUGCUCCGCUGACGAGUGGCGAACGGGUGAGUAAUAUAUCGGAACGUACCCAAGAGUGGGGGAUAACGUAGCGAAAGUUACGCUAAUACCGCAUACGAUCUAUGGAUGAAAGCAGGGGACCUUCGGGCCUUGUGCUCCUGGAGCGGCCGAUAUCUGAUUAGCUAGUUGGUGAGGUAAAGGCUCACCAAGGCGACGAUCAGUAGCUGGUCUGAGAGGACGACCAGCCACACUGGAACUGAGACACGGUCCAGACUCCUACGGGAGGCAGCAGUGGGGAAUUUUGGACAAUGGGCGCAAGCCUGAUCCAGCAAUGCCGCGUGAGUGAAGAAGGCCUUCGGGUUGUAAAGCUCUUUUGUCAGGGAAGAAACGGUAGAGGCUAAUAUCUUUUGCUAAUGACGGUACCUGAAGAAUAAGCACCGGCUAACUACGUGCCAGCAGCCGCGGUAAUACGUAGGGUGCAAGCGUUAAUCGGAAUUACUGGGCGUAAAGCGUGCGCAGGCGGUUUUGUAAGUCUGUCGUGAAAUCCCCGGGCUCAACCUGGGAAAUUGCGAUGGAGACUGCAAGGCUAGAAUCUGGCAGAGGGGGGUAGAAUUCCACGUGUAGCAGUGAAAUGCGUAGAGAUGUGAGACACCGAUGGNNNANGCAGCCCCUGGGUCANNNNUGACGCUCAUGCACGAAAGCGUGGGGAGCAAACAGGAUUAGAUACCCUGGUAGUCCACGCCCUAAACGAUGUCUACUAGUUGUCGGGUUUUAAUUAACUUGGUAACGCAGCUAACGCGUGAAGUAGACCGCCUGGGGGAGUACGGUCGCAAGAUUAAAACUCAAAGGAAUUGACGGGGACCCGCACAAGCGGUGGAUGAUGUGGAUUAAUUCGAUGCAACGCGAAAAACCUUACCUACCCUUGACAUGUCAGGAAGGCCGAAGAGAUUUGGCUGUGCCCGAAAGGGAACCUGAACACAGGUGCUGCAUGGCUGUCGUCAGCUCGUGUCGUGAGAUGUUGGGUUAAGUCCCGCAACGAGCGCAACCCUUGUCAUUAGUUGCUACGCAAGAGCACUCUAAUGAGACUGCCGGUGACAAACCGGAGGAAGGUGGGGAUGACGUCAAGUCCUCAUGGCCCUUAUGGGUAGGGCUUCACACGUCAUACAAUGGUACAUACAGAGGGCCGCCAACCCGCGAGGGGGAGCUAAUCCCAGAAAGUGUAUCGUAGUCCGGAUCGUAGUCUGCAACUCGACUACGUGAAGUUGGAAUCGCUAGUAAUCGCGGAUCAGUAUGCCGCGGUGAAUACGUUCCCGGGUCUUGUACACACCGCCCGUCACACCAUGGGAGCGGGUUUUACCAGAAGUAGGUAGCUUAACCGCAAGGAGAGCGCUUACC
rnacentral:rRNA from 1 species